UGAGGAAUAUUGGACAAUGGGGGCAACCCUGAUCCAGCAAUGCCGCGUGAAUGAAGAAGGCCUUCGGGUUGUAAAAUUCUUUCACUCGUGAAGAUGAUGACGGUAGCGAGAGAAGAAGCUCCGGCUAACUCUGUGCCAGCAGCCGCGGUAAGACAGAGGGAGCUAGCGUUGUUCGGAAUGACUGGGCGUAAAGGGUGCGUAGGCGGUCGCUUAAGCAAGGUGUUAAAGCCCCAGGCUCAACCUGGGAAUCGCGCUUUGAACUGGGUGACUGGAGUGUGAGAGAGGAAAGUGGAAUUCUUAGUGUAGAGGUGAAAUUCGUAGAUAUUAAGAGGAAUACCUGAGGCGAAGGCGGCUUUCUGGAUCAUUACUGACGCUGAGGCACGAAAGCGUGGGGAGCAAAUAGG
rnacentral:rRNA from 1 species